UACGAGUGCCUCAAGCGUUAUCCGGAAUCAUUGGGCGUAAAGGAUGUGUAGGUGGUCGUGUUAGUCUUUCGUUAAAUUUCUCGGCUUAACCGGGAACCUGCGGAGGAAACGGCACGACUAGAGGAUGCAAGGGGUCUGCGGAACUCAUAGUGUAGCGGUGAAAUGCGUUGAUAUUAUGGGGAACACCAAAAGCGAAGGCAGCAGACUGGGGCACUCCUGACACUGAAACAUGAAAGCGUGGGUAGCGAAUGGG
rnacentral:misc_RNA from 1 species